UAGGAUUCCAUUAGUAACGGCGAGUGAAGCUGGAAUAGUCCGAACUUUAAAAGAGAUAUUGUUGCUCUGAUGUAGUUCCAAGACCAUACUCGGUACCGGGCUUUCUUAUCAUCUAAGUUGACACGGACUUGUCCGACAGAGAGGGUGAAAUUCCCGUCUAGAUGUAUAAUUGUAAGCUUCCAAACUGAUUGAUCUAAGAGUCGAGUUGCUUGGGAUUGCAGCUUUAAGAUGGAGGUAAAUUCCUUCAAAGACUAAAUAAAGUUGGAUAACCGAUAGCGAACAAGUACCGUGAGGGAAAGUUGAAAAGAACCCCGGAAGGGGGAUCAAAAGAACGUGAAAUUGUACAGAGGGAAACGCUUGGACGCCCCGUAUUCGCAAGUGUUAAUCUCUCAAGUUUUACUGGGACAAAGAUUACACUUGGAGAAGCCAUCGCUUUAAGAUUUAAUGCGUGUUGCGAGUAGGAACUAUCAAGUUACAAACGAGAUUUAGGUUUACGCAAGUUUACCUAAUAUCCUCCUUGGCCUUCAGUUAGUUUUCCCACGUAUAAGUCGGCGGUAAAGGAUGUUGGAGUUAGUCUUUUAUGAGAUCGAAAGUUGCAAGCUGCGAUACGGCCUUUUUUAUAUUGGUUUUUAAGUGUUUAGCUACCUUCUUACGAAGACCUGUGUCUCAAAUAAAAGCACCCAUCUUACAAUAUGGCUAAGCAGCGGUCAAGCGACCCGUCUUGAAACACGGACCAAGGAGUCUAACAUGUUAGCAAGUCUUAGGGCCUAGUAACCCCUCUGGCGAAAUGAAAGUGAUUAGAGAUCCGAUUCCGACGCGAUUGGAUGCAGGAUUAGCCAAACUCCAUUAACAAUAGUUGUAGGGUUUGCGCAAGAGCAAAUAUGUUGGGACCCGAAAGAUGGUGAACUAUGCCUGAAUAGGGUGAAGUCAGGGGAAACUCUGAUGGAAGCUCGUAGCGAUUCUGACGUGCAAAUCGAUCGUCAAAUUUGGGUAUAGGGGCGAAAG
rnacentral:rRNA from 1 species